GAAUUAUAUUUAAAGUCUGACCUGCCCACUGAAUAAUUUUUUAAAGGCUGCGGUAUUUUGACCGUACAAAGGUAGCAUAAUCAUUAGUUUUUUAAUUGAAAACUUGUAUGAAUGGUUUAACGAAAUAUUAACUGUUUCAUAAAAAUAAGUAUAGAAAUUAAUUUUUUAGUAAAAAAGCUAAAAUAAAAUUAAAAGACGAGAAGACCCUAUAGAGUUUUACAUAAAAUAAUUUUAAUUUAAAAAUAAAAAUUGAGAUUUUAAUAAAUUUUAUGUUUUGUUGGGGUGACAAUAAAAUUUAAAUAUCUUUUAUUAAUUGUUUACAAUGAUUUUUGAUUAAUUGAUCCAUUUUUAGUGAUUAAAAGAUUAAAUUACCUUAGGGAUAACAGCGUAAUUUUUUUGUAGAGUUCUUAUCGAUAAAAAAUUUUGCGACCUCGAUGUUGGAUUAAGAAUAAUUUUAGGUGUAGAAGCUUAAUAAAUUAGGUCUGUUCGACCUUUAAUUUCUUACGUGAUCUGAGU
rnacentral:rRNA from 1 species